rnacentral:lncRNA from 1 species
CAGCUGCUUCUGAGACUAUUUUAUGAUCAUUGUAUAUAACUGAUACUAUUUUAUUGGACCCUGAUACAGGGGACUGUUAUGAUCUGUUUAGAUUCUAAUUCAACUAUUGUAUUUUCACAUCUAGUAUGUCUACUUCUGUUAAAUUACUUGUAAUUCUGAAUCCAUAUAUGAUUAAAGUUUGCAUUAAUUGGUAAUUAGGUAUGAGCAAAACUUUAUCAUGAAAUAUCUAUCUUAGACUUAGCACCCCAAAUGGCUAUAUAAUGUUUAAAAAAUUAGAACACAUUCAGAUUCACUAGAAUCAAUUCAAUUGCAUAAUAAUAAACAUAUUUUAAAAAGGAAAUCUCUUAUAAAAACUGAGUCAUACCUUCCGUAGGCUUUUGUUUUGUAGCCCCUGAUCUCCAUAUGGGAUUCUCUUGGAAUCUUGGAGCUGUUUGGCCUGUUGAGUCAGAGAGAAGAAAUACUCUGGAAUUUACUUGUCUGAUAAAUUUUCUCUGAACUGAACACUUCUUCCUGGAAGACAAAGGAAAGCUCAUAAGGCUCAGGAACGUCAUGAAAUUUACAAGACCCAUAAAGCUCAGAAAGGCACAAGACUUUAAGGCUUCUCCUCAAUGUUUUAUACCGAGUAAUCAGCUGCUGGGGAAGAAAAGACUUUGCAGUGGCAAUUCCUGCUAUACAAACAAGGGAAUUCCAUGUCAUAUAUGCUGAGGUAGGGAUAUUUGGUGAUGUGGCUGUAUUAUAUAUAUAUAUAUAUAUAUAUAUAUAUAUAUAUAUAUUCACACGCACACAUAUAUACAUGUACUGUGAGGAGCAGGUGUGGCAAUAGUCCCAAGAUGGCGCCCGGGACUGCAGCCAAGUCUUAUGACUUGCACCUAGAACUUCCUCAUACACCCGAAAAUAAGCCAUGUCCAUCGUGAGAGCUGCGCAGGCACACCAUGACACAAGAUCAGGCCAUUUGACGAAGGCCAAUGAACUGAGAUUGCGCGGACUGGGCUGAUGGGGCGUGGCUGAGGGGUGAUAUAAGGGAUUGCGAUUGGGGACUAGGGGAGAUUCCUGCUUGCAUGUUGAAAGGUUCCUGAAUAAACUGCUUUGAGA